rnacentral:lncRNA from 1 species
AGUUUGAAAAACAUGGCAACCACCUUGUAACCUAGUAACCUACUAGUGCCACAGCUUCCGCCGCCUGUGCUGUGUUUUUAUCACAAUGGCACUCAACCUAAAUUAUCACAGGCUAAUGAGAAAAGAACGCAGGGAGCCUCGAUAUGUAAAUGAUGCGUUUCUGAUAAGCUGAGGCCAGUUGGCAUGUUGCACAAAUGAAGACUAGACCGUAGCUUGGAUGGCAGAAAAAGAUGGGAGAAUCAAUCCUCACGUGGUACAUGAUGGCACAGGCAUGCUAAGCUUAGAAGAUCCCAAGCCAUCGUGGCCCAUGCCACAGUCACAUUCCACGCCGAAAUGUAAUUUUAGCAGUUUCAAACAGCAUCAUCUGCCACAUUAAAUUAACACAUUAAAUUAAUGAGGAUUUUGUAGUGUUGCUUGUACUCUAUUUGUAAGAUUCAUUUUUAAAAAUCAUGUGAGAGCUGUAAACCUAAGGAUUUUUAAAAACCUGGUUUAUAUUUGUACAUUUUCAGGUGAUGAGAUAAAAAGAAACAUAAUUCACAUCAACUCUCACAGAGUGACGGUGGUAAAGGAGUGCACAGAAUUUUUUUCUUCUCAUAGAAAAAGGAGUAGAUCAUUGAAGUUUAGGAAACACUGUGGUGUUACGGGGAGAGUAAUGGGAGUCGUGAAUGUGGAAAUACAGAGAGAAAAUGAGUGAGAAAGAGAACAGGAAAAGUGGCAGGACUCGGUUGCUGCAGCUUCAGUAGAGGACGUGAAGCUUGAAAAAAUAAGGACUGAGACCAGGCAGGGGAGACCUGAGGAGCGGCUGCAGCCGGCAUGCUUCUCAAGACGUCCCUGCCCACAGAAGCUGACAAACCCAAGCAGACAAAUUUGGAGUUCAAGUAAGAGAAUGAUUCAAAAAUGGACCAAAACUGAGGCCUGUCCUUAAUUACUCAUAGUGAGAAGAUGUAACCACUCCUUGGGGAGGAGGAUGGGCAGUGAGCACUCAACUCCUGUGUUGUAUCUAUCGAGGUGAACUAUGUGCUGGCCUAACUUGCCUGUUCAAGAAGGUGCGGGUGUAUGUAUUUAGUUCUUCCUAGGAAUCCAGGGCUGCAGAGGAAAAACAUGGCAUGUCCCGGGGAGCUGAGAGGACAGUCCCAUGAGUCCAUGCCACAUAUCUCCAGGGGACUUCCAGAAACUGCUGGGCGGACUUUGAAGAUGGAGAAAGUCAAGGUUUCUGCAAUAGCAGAUCCCUUGGCAUAAGGAAAGCAAGCUUCCCUGUUGUGAGCAGCCCUAUGGAGAGGCCCAUGUGGCAAGGAGCUGGCAUCUCAAGCCAGCAGACAGCAAGAGCCUGAGGCCUGCCGACAGUCACGUGGGUAAGCAAGGAAGUGGACCCUUCCCCAGCUGAGCCUUCAGAUGACUGCAGCCUCAGCUGACAUCUUGGUUGCAGCUUCAGGAGAUACCCUGAGUUGGAAGACUUCAGUUAAGCCUUAACUGGAUUCAUGACUCACAGAAACUGUGAAAUAAUAAAUGUUGUUUUUAGCCGUUAAGGUGUGGGAUAGUUAUGCAACAAUAGAUAACUAAUACAUAUAGAAAGAAGGGGAGAUCAACAGAGAUACAUGAAAGAGAAAGAAAAUACUUCAAUGAAGACUUCCAACUUGCAGUAAAUUAUAAAACAGCACAUCACUAAACCUACAGAGCUGUGCUUCUGAAAACCACACUCAUCACCUGAGACAUUUCUUUAAACUCUUUAUAAGAUGUAAGGGACUUAGUACUCCUAAAAAUAUUUUUCUGCUUUCUAUCACUUUACUGAUAUUCUCUGUUUAGGGAGAAAUUGUUCUUACAUAUUAUUCUUUACUUAUUUAGACAAUUUCCUGGGUUCUUUGAACAUAUUUAAAACAAUUGAUUUGAAGGCUUGGUCUAGUAAGUCCAAAAUCUAGGCUUCUGCCGAGACAAUUUCUAUGACUACUUUUCUUCUCUGUGUGUAGGCCAUACUUUUUUGUUUCUUUGCACAUCUUGUAUUUUUUUGUUGUUGAAACUAGGCAUUUUAGAUAAUAUAAUGUGGCAACUCUGGAAAUCACAUUCUCCUCCAUCCCCCUGGAUUCACAUUGUUGUAUUGUGAUAUGGCUUAGCUAUGUCCCCACCCAAAUCUCACCUUGAAUUGUAAUAAUACCCUUGUGUCAAGGGUAGAGAUAAUUGAAUCACUGGGGGCCAUUUUCCCAAUACUGUUCUCAUGGUAGUGAAUAAGUCAAAUGAGAUCUGAUGGUUUUAUAAAUGGGAGUUCCCCUACACAAGCUCUCUUGCCUGCCACCAUGUAAGACGUGCCUUUGCUUCUCCUUUGCCUUCUGCCAUGACUGCGAGGCCUCUCCAGCCAUGUGGAACUGUGAGUCCAUUAAACCUCUUUCCUUUAUAAAUUAUCCAGUCUCGGGUAUGUCUUUAUUAGCAGAGUGAGAACAGACUAAUACAUAUUGUUUCUCCACUUUGUGACUUCUCUGAAUUAAUUCUGUCAAGUCUGUAUUCCUCAUCGUCAUUAAUUCCUUUAUUGUUCUGCCCACCCACCAAUAUUCAUUAGCAAGUCAUUAGGAGAACCUCUCAGCUCUAGCUCUAAAAUCUGUGCCCUUUCCUCCAGCUGCACUGCUACCACUCCAGCCCAAGACACCUGCUUCUCUCUUCUAGGAUUCUCCCCAAUGGACUUCUUGCUUCUGCCUUACCCUUCCAUCUUCUGUUCUCCCCACAGCAUCCAGGAUGGUCUUAGGUUAUAAAAAGACUGGUUUCUACUUGGUAUCCUCCACCAAGGCUAGUACUGUGCUUUGCACAUAGUAGAUGUUUAAUCAAUGUCUACUUACACACAGUAAAUACACUUCUGUUACUCUUCUGCCUAUUCCCCUCCAGUGGCUUCCCUUCCAGAGCCCCUGAGGGCCUGGCUGAUGCGGC